rnacentral:rRNA from 1 species
GGAAUAUUGGACAAUGGGCGAAAGCCUGAUCCAGCAAUGCCGCGUGAGUGAUGAAGGCCCUAGGGUUGUAAAGCUCUUUUACCCGGGAAGAUAAUGACUGUACCGGGAGAAUAAGCCCCGGCUAACUCCGUGCCAGCAGCCGCGGUAAUACGGAGGGGGCUAGCGUUGUUCGGAAUUACUGGGCGUAAAGCGCACGUAGGCGGCUUUGUAAGUCAGAGGUGAAAGCCUGGAGCUCAACUCCAGAACUGCCUUUGAGACUGCAUCGCUUGAAUCCAGGAGAGGUCAGUGGAAUUCCGAGUGUAGAGGUGAAAUUCGUAGAUAUUCGGAAGAACACCAGUGGCGAAGGCGGCUGACUGGACUGGUAUUGACGCUGAGGUGCGAAAGCGUGGGGAGCAAAC